GGGGCUGUGGUCCAACUUGGCUAAGAUUCAGCGUUCGGGACGCUGCGAUCGGGGUUCAAAUCCUCGCAGCCCCA
rnacentral:tRNA from 1 species